GAUGAAGAACGUAGCGAAAUGCGAUAAAUAAUGUGAAUUGCAGAAUUCAGUGAAUCAUCGAGUCUUUGAACGCACAUUGCGCCCCCUGGUAUUCCGGGGGGCAUGCCUGUCCGAGCGUCAUUGCUGCCCUCAAGCACGGCUUGUGUGUUGGGCCCCCGUCCCCCCCUCCCGGGGGACGGGCCCGAAAGGCAGCGGCGGCACCGCGUCCGGUCCUCGAGCGUAUGGGGCUUUGUCACCCGCUCUGUAGGCCCGGCCGGCGCCUGCCGACCACCAUCAAUCUUUUUUCAGGUUGACCUCGGAUCAGGUAGGGAUACCCGCUGAACUUAAGCAUAUCAAUAACGGAGGA
rnacentral:misc_RNA from 1 species